GAUUUUGGCCAUUUUAUACUGUUAUUUUGGUCAAUUUUUUAAAUAUUUAUUUUCUUGAUUUUUGAACAUUAAGCGCAAUAUAAACACUUUACGCAGAAUUCAUCUUGGAUACAGCGCAAGUGAGCGCAAAGAUACAACGCAAGUGUGCGCUAGUGAGUUAUCUCCAAAGACGUUUAAAUAUAAUUACUAGACGGAAAGCAGCACGCGCGGAAACCAUGCAGAUGAAUGGGAUUAGGCUCCGCCUCUUUUGGAUCAUUUGAAGACAAAAUAAGCCACCGAGGCGGCUCUUUGAUUGGAUAUGAGCCUCAUGAAUAUGUAUUUUAUCGAUAGUAUCGUUUAAGAAACCGGAUAAUAUAUUUGACCUCAUUGCGUCACUUUAAUUAUGCAGAUUUAUGCACGACGCAGGCUACUCGCACAAACUGAGAAGAUUUAGUUCAUUGAGAAUGGAUGGAAACUGAUGAAGAGCUGGAAGGAGUUAACUGAUGAGUAGACAUUACAACAUUUCUUAUAUUUUCAAGAUGAAGCUGAAAGUCCCAUGCAGGAUGAUGCUUCUCUACAGUGGAUGAUGAAAGCAUGCUGAUUACAAACCCAGGAGAGGAAUAAAGAACAGAUAUUGACAGAAUCAUAUCUAGAGAUGUGGGCCUAUUGCACUUCAUACAAGCAAGUGUGCUAAUAUACCAUGUAGGUACCCCCAAUAAACUAUUGUAGAACACAUUUAUCAUGCAGAAAGUUAUAGAUCUGACAAUUAUAUUUUUCAUUGUCCAUUGACUUGUAAAAGAAUACUUGA